GGUGGCACAGAUGUCAGCAGUGGGGGGAGCAGAGCGGCCCUCACGCAUGUUCUGGGAACAGGCCUGAGCGCCCCUUGUAAGUGAGCCAAAGGGUUGAUGGUGAGUCUCCUCUGCCUUCCCAAUCCCAGUGAGAUUUGCUGGCAAGCCAACUUUCAUCAAACGCUUGAGCUCGGACAGUCUAGAUGGAGGAAAACUCCGAAGGAUAAGGAGCUUACUGCGCAAGGAGAGCUCUACGUCCAGUCUGCUGCCAGCCAUCCCUGGAGUGCCUGAAGAACAAAAGCAGCCGCUGACCUGCCAGCUGCAGGGCCAGGCAGAAACAGACAGCCAAGAAGACCUGGGCCGAGCCCCAGGAACCAAACACGUGAGCUUCCGUGAGGAAGAACAGGAAGCGGAAAAAGCCCAUCGUGUGGCUGCAGUGCUGAAGUUGCCCAAAGCCAAUGAAUCUUUCAGCAAAGAUUCCAGACCUUCCUCAAGGGCUCAGUCCAGCCCGUCACAGGCAUCGCAAGGCACUCCAUCCCGGCUUCCACUUCUGGCAUGUGACUCAGUCAGACUUCUCAGGCGCAGGGCUAAGAAGAGCAGGCAGAAAGAACCUGAGGAGAUGGAAGCAUCAACAUCUCAGGCUGAGGCCAGCCAGCCGCAGGAGUCCUCUGCUGACAGAGCUGGAUUUCUGCCACCGAUAAACGAAGAAACACAGUCUCCUCAGCGUCAGCCCCCGGACACCAAAGCCCCACCGCGCAGGAAGGGCACACCCUACCCACGCUGAUGCAGGCAUGGGGCGCCCACGAGCUCCAAGACCUCCACUCGAGCUGGCUGCAAAACAGAUGCGUGAAUCCCAUCUGCAUCAUAUCUAAUCCUAGACUAGGCUGCCGAGUGCCCAAUCCAACCUGGC
ensembl:lncRNA